rnacentral:rRNA from 1 species
GAUGAACGCUGGCGGUCUGCUUAACACAUGCAAGUCGAACGGGGUGCUUCGGCACCUAGUGGCGGACGGGUGAGUAACGCGAGAGGAUCUGCCCUUAGGACCGGGACAACAGCCGGAAACGGCUGCUAAUACCGGAUGUGCCGGAAGGCGAAACAUUAAUGGCCUGAGGAUGAACUGGCGGCUGAUUAGCUAGUCGGUAGUGUAAUGGACUACCAAGGAGACGAUCAGUAGCUGGUCUGAGAGGAUGACCAGCCACACUGGGACUGAGACACGGCCCAGACUCCUACGGGAGGCAGCAGUGGGGAAUUUUCCGCAAUGGGGGCAACCCUGACGGAGCAAGACCGCGUGGGGGAAGAAGGUUUGUGGAUUGUAAACCCCUUUUGAUUGGGAAGAAGACAGUGACGGUACCAAUCGAAUCAGCAUCGGCUAACUCCGUGCCAGCAGCCGCCGUAAGAC